rnacentral:misc_RNA from 1 species
UCCCCGUUACCGGGGCAGUCUAGCUAGAGAAAUUCAACUAGCUACAAGGGUUGCGCUCGUUAAUGGACUUAACCAAACAUCUCACGACACGAGCUGAAGACGGCCAUGCAACACCUGUCACUUGGUUCCCGAAGGCACUUUCUCCUUUCGGAGAAAUUCCAAGGAAGUCAAGCCUUGGUAAGGUUCUUCGCUUACCGUCGAAUUAAACAACACGCUCCACCGCUUGUGCGGGUCCCCGUCAAUUCCUUUGAGUUUUAAUCUUGCGACCGUACUCCCCAGGCGGGAUGCUUAACGCGUUAGCUUCGCUACUACCAGGGUCGAUACUGGUAACAGCUAGCAUCCAUAGUUUACAGCGUGGACUAC